CCUACGGGUGGCAGCAGUGAGGAAUAUUGGUCAAUGGACGAGAGCCUGAACCAGCCAAGCAGCGUGAAGGAUGACUGCUUUAGGGGUUGUAAACUUCGUUUAUAUGGUAAUAAAAUGUUCCACGUUCGGGAUUUUGUACGUACCCUAUGAAUACGGAUCGGCCAACUCCGAGCCAGCAGCCGCGGUAAUACGGAGGAUGCUAGCGUUAUCCGGAUUUAGUGGGUUAAAUGGGUGCGCAGGCGGAAGCUCAGGUCAGCGGUAAAAUUGAGGGGCUCAACCUCGUCGAGCCGUUGAAACUGGUUUUCUUGAGUGAGUGAGAAGUAUGCGGAAUGCGUGGUGUAGCGGUGAAAUGCAUAGAUAUCACGCAGAACUCCGAUUGCGAAGGCAGCAUACCGGCGCUCAACUGACGCUCAUGCACGAAAGUGUGGGUAUCGAACAGGAUUAGAUACCCCAGUAGUC
rnacentral:rRNA from 1 species